rnacentral:lncRNA from 1 species
CCACCAUUACUUCUCCAUAACUCUCAGCUCAUUGUUAUCUAACAACAUGAUAGACAAGACAUGUUUCCUGUACCACUCGGGAGCAGUACGUGCUCUUGUCGACCUGCGAGGUCCUGCCCUGCGCCACCAUCUUGUUAAAGCAGAGGUUCUGUAACCUCAUCAAGUUCUAUCUUCCUCCCACUCAAUUAUUUCAAGAGAAACACUUUAUCAAGAAAAGCUCCGUUCUUAGCGACAAACACUUUGCCCUCAGAUCUGAGAUAGAAGGUAUACCCAACUGUCUCUUUUGGGUAACCUAUGAAGACGCACUUUUCCGCUUUGGGUUCUAGCUUUUCAGGCUGAAGCUUUUUGACAUAAGCAUCGCAUCCCCAAACUUUAAGAAACGAGAACUUUGGCUUCUUGCCAUACCGUAGCUCAUAUGGUGUCGUCUCAACGGAUUUUGAUGGUGCCCUAUUUAAAAUGAAUGCAGCUCUCUCUAAUGCAUAGCCCCAAAACAAUAAUGACAAAUCGGUUAGAGACAUCAUAUAUCGUACCAUAUCUAACAAAGUACAAUUACGACGUUCGGACACACCAUUACGUUGUGGUGUUCCAGGCGGUGUCAAUUGUGAAACAAUUCCACAUUGUCUUAAGUGAGCACCAAACUCGUAACUUAGAUACUCUCCUCCUCGAUCAAAUCGUAGGAACUUGAUCUUCUUGCUAUGAUGAUUUUCAACUUCACUCUGAAAUUUCAUAAACUUUUCAAACGUUUCAGACUUGUGCUUCAUCAAGUAGAUAUAGCCAUACCUACUCAAAUCGUCAUUGAAGGUGAGAAAAUAACGAUAUCUAUCGCGCGCCUCUAUGCUCAUUGGUCCGCACACAUCAGUAUGUAUGAUCUCCAAUAAGUCACUUGCACGCUCCAUUGUUCCAGAGAACAGAGUCUUACUCAUCUUGCCCAUGAGGCAUGGUUCGCAUGUGUCAAGUGAUUCAAAAUCAAGUGACUCCAAAAGUCCAUCAUCAUGGAGUUUCUUCAUGCGCUUAACACCAAUAUGACCUAAGCGGCAGUGCCACAAGAAAGUGGCGUUAUCAUUGUUAACUCUACAUCUUUUGGUCUCAAUGUUAUGGAUAUAAGUGUCAUCACAAUCGAGAUCCAAUAUGAACAAACCCCUCACAUUGGGUGCAUGACCAUAAGAGAUAUUACUCAUAUAAAUAGAACAACCAUUAUUCUUAGACUUAAAUGAGUAACCGUCUCGCAAUAAACAAGAUCCAGAUAUAAUGUUCAUGCUUAAGGCAUGCACUAAAUAACAAUUAUUUAAGUUCAUAACUAAUCCCGAUGGUAACUGAAGUGAGACCGUGUCGAUGGCGAUCGCAUCAACCUUGGAACCAUUUCCCACGCGCAUCGUCACUUCAUCGUUCGCCAGCCUUCGCUUAUUCCGCAGUUCUUGUUUCGAGUUACAAAUGUAAGCAACAGAACCGGUAUCAAAUACCCAGACACUACUAAGAGAGUUGAUGAGGUACACAUCAAUAACAUGUAUAUCAUAUAUACCUUGUUUGGCGUUGACCGCCUUCUUAUCGACGAGAUACUUGGGGUAGUUGCACUUCUAGUGACCAGUCCCCUUGCAACAAUAGCACUCAGUUUCCGUCUUAGGCCCAGCCUUGGGUUUCUUCAUCGGAGGGGCAACAGUUUUUGCACUCUUCUUGGAGUUACCCUUCUUGCCUUUGCCGUUCUUCUUGAAACUAGUGGUGUUAUUCACCAUCAACACUUGAUGUUCUUUCUGGAUUUCUGACUCAGCAACUUUCAUCAUCGCAAAUAACUCGCUGGGUGACUUAUUCAUCCCUUGGAUGUUAUAGUUCAACAUGAAGCUCUUGUAGCUAGGUGGCAGUGAUUGAAGAAUUCUGUCAGUGAUAGCUUCUUGCGGGAGAGCGAUCCCCAGCUCAGCUAGAUGGUUUGAGUACCCAGACAUUUUGAGCACAUGUUCACUGACAGACAAAUUCUCCUCCAUUUUGCAAGCAUAGAAUUUAUUGGAGGUCUCAUACCUCUCGAUCCAGGCAUUCUUCUCAAAGAUAAAGUUCAACUCCUGGAACAUCUCAUAUGCUCCAUGACAUUCAAAACAUCGUUGAAGUCCCGGUUCUAAGCCAUACAAAACAACACAUUGAACUAGUGAGUAGUCAUCCUUACGAGCUUGCCAAACAUUCAAAACAUCUUGGUCAGCCAUAGCGUGUGGUUCACCUCCUAGCGCUGCAUCAAGGACAUAAUUCUUUUGCGUAGCUUGAAGUAUAAGCCUCAAAUUUCGAACCCCCUCUACAAAUUUGCUACCAUCAUCUUCCAGCUUAGCUUUCUCUAGGAACGUAUUGAAAUUCAGGGUUGCUACUACGCGAGCAAUUGAUCUACAACAUAAUUUUUUGCAAAGAUUACUUAUACUAUGUUCAAGACAAUUGAGUUUAGCUAAUCAUAUUAAUUAUAAAUUCCCACUCAAAUAGACAUCCCUCUAGUUAUUCGAGUGUCGCAUGAUCCAAAUUCACUAGCUCAAGUCCGAUCAUCACGUGAGUUGAGUAUAGUUUCAGUGGUGAACAUCUCCAUGUUGAUCAUAUCUACUAUAUGAUUCAUGCUCGACCUUUCGGUCUCUUGUGUUCCGAGGCCAUGUCUGUACGUGCUAGGCUCGUCAAGUUUAACCCGAGUGUUCCGCGUGCGCAACUGUUUUGCACCUGUUGUAUGUGAACGUUGAGUCUAUCACACCCGAUCAUCAUGUGGUGUCUCGAAACGACGAACUGUCGCAACGGUGCAUAGUCGGGGAGAACACAUUUUUAUCUUGAAAUUUUGUGAGGGAUCACCUUAUAAUGCUACUGUCGUCCUAAGCAAAAUAAGGUGCAUAAAAGGAUUAACAUCACAUGCAAUUCAUAAGUGUCAUGAUAUGGCCAUGAUCUUGUGCUUCUUGACCUGCAUCACCAAAGCACCGACAUGAUUAUCAUUGUCACCGGCACCAUAGAAUGAUCUCCAUCAUCAUGAUCUCCAUCGUUGUGCCGCCAUCGAGGUUGUCAUGCUAUCUAUGCUAUUACUACUAAAGCUACUACCUAGCAAUAUAGUAAACACAUCUGCAAGCACAAACGUUAGUUUAAAGACAACCCUAUGGCUCCUGCCGGUUGCCGUACCAUCGACGCGCAAGUCGAUAUUUAACUAUUACAACAUGAUCAUCUCAUACAUCCAAUAUAUCACAUCAUGUCUUUGGCCCUAUCACAUCACAUGCAUAUCCUGCAAAAACUAGUUAGAUGCCCUCUAAUUUGUUGUUGCAUGUUUUACGUGGCUGCUAUGGGUAUCUAGUAUGAUCGCAUCUUACUUACGCAAAGCCACAACGAUGAUAUCCAAAUUGCUAUUUAACCUUCUCCAAGGACCGCCUCGAUCAAAUCCGAUUCAACUAAAGUUGAAGAAACAGACACCCGCCGGUCAUCUUUAUGCAACAAGUUGCAUGUUAGUCGAUGAAACCGGUCUCUAGUAAGUGUACGAGUAAGGUUGGUCCAGGCCAUUUCAAUCCAACAAUACUACCGAAUCAAGAAAAGACUAUGGAGGGCAGCAAAUCGAACAUCAACGCCCACAAUUUUUUUUGUGUUCUACUCGAGAUUUCAUCUAUGAGUGAACCUAGCUCAUGAUGCCACUAUUGGGGAACGUUGCAUGGGAAACAAAAAUUUUCCUACGCACACGAAGACCUAUCAUGGUGACGAUCAUCUAUGAGAGGGCGAUCGGAUCUACGUACCCUUGUAGAUCGCUAAGCGGGAAGCGUUAAGAAACGUGGUUGAUGUAGUGGAACGUCUUUGCGAUCCAAAUCGCCUCCGUCCCAUGGUCCGUCCCGAUCUAGCACCGAACGGACGACACCUCCGCGUUCAGCACACGUACAGCUCGAUGACGAUCUCGGCCUUCUUGAUCCUGCAAGAGAGAUGGGGAAGUAGAUGAGUUCUCCCACAGUGUGACGACGCGCCGGUGAUGGUGGUGAUCUAUUCCUGCAGGGCUUCACCUAAGCACCGCAGAAAUCCGAUCUAGAGGAAGGACUACAAACUAGAGGAGAGGGUUGCACGUGGCUGAAAAUUGUGUCCCAAAAACCCUAAAACCUCUAGUAUAUAUAGGAGGAAGGAGGAUCUGACCUUGAGCACCAAGGGAACCUCCCUUGGGCUCAGCCGAACCAGGAGAGGAGGAGUCCUCCAAUCCUAUUUGGAGUAGGACUCCUCCCCAAGUUGUCCACUUCUUUUGUUUUUUCCACUUUUUACCUCAUGGGCUUUCUUUGGUUGACUAGUCAUCCCACUAAGAGCUAUUGCGCCACCAUAAAGUCCACGUGGCCCUCUUGGGCAAUGGUGGGCCAACCUAGUGGGCCCCCAGUACCCAUUCGUCACUCCCGGUACACUGCCGGCAAUGCCCGAAAUCCUUUCGGAAUCCAAAUACCAACUUCCUAUAUCAAUCUUCAUUUCCGGACCAUUCCGGAACUCCUCGUGAUGUCCGAGAUCACAUUCGGGACUUCGAACAAAACUUCAGUCACCACCACCUAUAACUCAACUAUACCGAAAUGUUACCGAACCUUAAGUGUGCACACUCUGCGGGUUCGAGAACUAUGCAGACAUGACUUGACACACUCUUUGGUCAAUAUCCAAUAGCGGGACUUGGAUGUCCAUAUUGGAUCCUACAUAUUCUACGAAGAUCUUAUCGGUUGAACCUCUAUGUCAAGGAUUCAUAUAAUCCCGUAUACCAAUUCCUUUGUCCUUCGGUAUGUUACUUGCCCGAGAUUCGAUCGUCCGCCUCUCCAUACCUAUUUCAAUCUCGUUACUGGCAAGUCUCUUUACUCGUUCCGUGAUGUUGUGUUACCGAGUGGGCCCCGAGAUACCUCUCCAUCACAUGGAGUGACAAUCCAAGUCUUGAUCCAUGCUAACUCAAUGGACACCUUCGGAGAUGCCUGUAGAGCACCUUUAUAGUCACCCAGUAACGUUUCAACAUUUGAUGCACACAAGGCAUUCUUGCGGUGUUCAGUGAGUUACAUGAUCUCAUGGUCAUAGGAAUGAAUACUUGACAUGCAGAAAACAAUAGCAACAAAAUGACAUGAUCAUAUGCUAUGUUCAUAGUUUGGGUCUUGUCCAUCACAUCAUUCUCCUAAUGACGUGAUCCCGUCAUCAGGUGACAACACUUGUCUAUGGCUAGGAAACCUUAACCAUCCUUGAUCAAUUGGCUAGUCAACUAGAGACUCACUAGGGACACAAUUUUGUCUAUAUAUCCACACAUGCAUUUAUGUUUCCAUUCAAUACAGUUAUAGCAUGGAUAAUAAAUGAUUAUCUUGAAAUAGGAAAUAUAAUAAUAAUUAUUUUAUUAUUGCCUCUAGGGCAUAUUUUCCAACAUAAGCAUCACUUGGAAAUUUGUCCUUAGUAUUACCUCAACCCUCUUUAAUAGUGCAAUAUUCCUAUUACUCAAAAUAAAGGAAACGUAACUAGUAAAACAAAAGUCUUCAUGCUUCAUAGUCUUUGCAUUAAUAUCUUCAAGGAUGCACCAAUUUCCUCACUUUUAGAGUCUUUAGGAAAAUAUUGAAGACUCCAGAUGAAGACAUUAAUUUUUAGGGGUCGACAUUCUUCAAAUAUAUCAAAUGCCUUAGUGACUUAUAGAGCUUGUGUACACUCAUACACAUAUUAGUCCCUUAACUUAUAAGUCUUCAAUACACCAAAAUCACUAAGGGGCACUAUAUGCACUUACAAUCUCCCCCCUUUUGGUGAUUGAUGACAAAUAAUUAAGUUUUCGACGGGGAUAAACAUAUGAAGUGUAAGUACCGACUUUGAGGAAUUUGAUUGCAAGAUAUAGAGAAACUCCCCCUAAAGAUGUGCAUAUUUGAGGAUUUUGCUUUGGACUGCAAUUGCACAUUGUAAGUUAAUAUCAUGAAGAUCUCCCCUAUAUCUUAUAAUCCAUACACACAAUUAACAUAUAUCAUGAGGAAAUUGAAAUGCAUGAUGGGAAGUGGUGUCUGACAAAAUUCGGCAUGCGUGCAUUAAUCAACAUGAGGAACAAGCAUGCAAUAAAAGCAGUUCAAAAGUGUCACACCACCACCGAACAUAAGUUUACAACUCAUAAAACCAAACACCUUAGAAAAAUGAGAGUUGCAACAUAAGGAAACAUCCCAUAUAGAUAGACCCACUUGAAGACUAACUCAAAUUUCUCCCCCUUUGUCAUCAAGUGACAAAAAAGGGAUGAAAUUGAGAACUAACACCCCUGAAAAAUAUCAUCUUGAUGGUGGUGGUGCAACACCAGUGUUGUCGGGGUCUUUUGUCGAUGAAGGGCCUGCAACAGUGUCAUCAAGUUCCUCAGAUUCAUCCUUGAGCAUGAUGAAGAAAAUGAGCUUGUUACCAGCUAAGGAACUUGAAAUUUCUUGAAUAUCUUCUUUGGUGGAUAUGACCAGUCAAAGUUCUGCUGAAAUUCUAUCUCUGCAAGUUCUUCGAGGAGUCUUGAGGUGAGACAGAAUGGCCCAUGUGCGAUCGAAUAUUUCAUGUAGAUAUUAGUGAUUAUUCCUCAGAGAGUUAUGCAUGAUAGUCAUGUCACAAAGAAUUGCACGAAACUAACGUUUCACCCACUUGUGGUUGUGAUCGACCUUGUGAUGAACACUUAGAAGAAGCUCACAAUUGGUCAUCACUCGUGGCACUUUCUUGAGUACGUUGCGGUGAGGUUUUUGCUACAAAAUCUUGAGAUGUCAUGUCAUCAUUGGUGGAGUAAGAAGCAUCUUGAGGAAAUUGCCCAUCAAAAGGGCGUGAUCCUUCAUCAAUGACAGCUUUGCCAUUUCCUUCCAUUGAGGAAAAUGUGUUCUUGAUGACUUCGAUUGGGGGCAGAAAGCUAAAAUGGUUUUGAAAAUCCGCUUGAUAAGGUAUUGAGGAUCUUUCCCCGAUGAAUUUCAUGAUCCAGGAAGCAUAUGGCUUCAGUUCAAACGACAAUAAAGCAAUGUUGGCUAGAGUCCUCGUUAAGAAAUCGUGAAGGUUGAUGGGAAUCCCAUGAAUAAUAUCGAACAACAAAUUCUUCAUGAUUCCAACCACGUCUUGGUCUUCAAAGUCAUGACCCUUGAUAAGACUAAGGGUUUUGGUCAAGAUGCGAUAUACCAUUCUGGGCAAUAAAGCAAAUCCUUCACUAGGAAGGUGGUUCUGGGAGCUUGGUGAGGUGCCAAGGGCUUCAUUAUUACCUGCAUCAGAUGAUUUGGCAAUUCAGGUUCAUCAUAGAUACAUCUUGCACCUUCUGAGGGUUGAUCGACUGGGAGAACAUGAAUCAAUUCAGUUCCUGGAGCAGUAUAGUGUGUGUCUUCAGUCAUCCAGUCAAGUAUCUAGGUGUUGAUAUUGUGUGCUUCACUAGAAAUGUGCAGAGUUGCAUAAAACUAAGGAAUUAGUUCUUCAUUCCAGUCACAAAUAUCAAUGCAGAAUGGCAAGAGUACAACUUCAUGAAGAACAUUGAGUACUGGGUAGAAGCACGGAAUGAACUCCAUAUCUGCAUGAGGAAUUUGACGGUGUUGGAAGAUUUUGUUCUUGUCAAAUAACAGAGUACCAUAGAAGUUAAUCUCGAUUGAAGUCGAGAACCUCUUGCACCUUAUCCUCGGAGAGUCAUAGGGAUUUUCACCUAUGAAGAAAUGAUGUUCAUCAUAGAAAUUCUCCUUGAGGAAUUUGGGUCACUUUGUGCCUUUGUAUGGCUGAACAGGAAUUGGCUGAAGAUUUGGCUUGUAUUGCCCUACAAGUGCUCUGGGCAUGAUAAAUGUUUCAGUUUGAGGAACUUGUGCCACAACGACUGCAGAUUGAGGAUUUUGAACGACAAGUUCUUGAUGAGCAGUCUGAGUGUUGAUUAUGUCAAUCUGUGGUUCUUCAACUUAUGGCAGAGGAAUUUGAGGAGCUGUUUCUUCAGCCAUGGUCUCUUGAGACUAAAGAAUUUGAAUUGCAAAUUCUUCAACCGCAAUGUGAGUGUGACUUUCUUUAGCAGUUUCUUUAGCUUGUGCAACUUGUAUUUCUUCAACCUGUGGCUAUCAAAGUUGUCAGAAACGUGACUCAAGUCUUAGAAUCUUACGAUCUUACGAUCCAAACUAGCCCCUCUGAUUCUACAAUUUUGCUCAUAGAAUCUAAGUUUCUACGAUCCUGAUAGUUAAGAUUCUACGAUUCACGAUCCUAGCAACGGAGCUCCGAUCCGAUUCAGAAUCGCUAUUCUGACAACUUUGGUGGCUAUGGUGACUGUGUUAUGAGCGGAAUCAUUUCAUGAGAUGAUGCAGCUAGAAUUUCUCCAACUGUUGUCUUGAGAGGAGUGGAUCGACCCUUAGACCCUAUAAGAGUUUGUUCAGUGUGGGUAGGUGACUCGGGAAUUUGACUCAGUUACGUGGGCAUUGGUGAAUUUGGGUGUGCAGCUUCCCAAUAUUCAUUGUUGAUCACUGGAGUAGUGCAACUAAUGUCCACAUGAUCUUCAAUUUCUUCAUCACCAACCUCUACUGUAGUGAAUUGAGGCUGGGGUGAUGAUACCUGAGGGGGUGAAGUGUUCACAUCCACCUCAAUUUCUUCAUCGAUCGGCUCUGAGGAAGCAAUAAAUUGAUUUUCUUCAUCUUCUGCAUCUGGGAUGACAUAGCCUUCACCAAAUAGUACCAUUUAGUAAGAGGGUAUAGAGGUGUUAGGCAUUGCAUCAAUUGGUUUACCCGAGGAAUUUGGCAAAAUCCUCAAUCGCUUGUCUUUUGAAGAUUCUAAAGUGGAUGAUGCUUUUCGCUUUCGUGCGGCUUCCUUUUUCGUAGCCUUGGUUUUCUUUACUUCUGAUGUAGAAGAAAUUAGCACUCUCUUCACCUUUAAAGAUUUUGCUGAUGGAGCAGAGGGUGAAGUUGAUUCGAGUUCUUCACGCAAGACUGAUGCAGUCAUCCUGACACGUCAAAUUUCUUCAGGCGCAUUAGUUUCUUCAGCUGGCCUCAUAGUUUCUUUAUGUGCAAGAGUGGAGUUUGCCGUGACAGUUUCUUCAGGAGGUGUGAUAUCUUCAGCAGUCCUGAUAAUUUCUUCACCCACUGGUAUUUCUUCAGUGGGCUGAGUAGUAGAACUAGCCUGAGCAGUUUGUGGUUGUGAUGGAAGUGCAGGCCUUGUGUUGUGGUCACUGAUGGCUCUCGUAGCCACAUUGUCAAACCUGACCUUAGAGCCUUUCCAAUCAGCAUAAUAUCUAUUGUAUUCUUCACCGAGAUUUUAAUCUUAGUUUAUGCAGAAAUGAGUUGGCCUGGAGUCAGGGAGAGAACAUUGGUCUUCAUAAAUUGUUCUUUCUUCCUCUGCUCCCUUCUGGCCAUUUUGUCCUUUUCAAACUUCCAUUUUUCUACGACAAUGAAAGCCGUCAACACUUGGCUUGGACCAGGUAGUAGUUUUAGAUCGUCAAUUGGGGUUUGAGGAUCUUUGUACCAGACAUCAAUGAAAUCCAACAUAGUUCUUCAGUCAAGCAUGAGAGGUAUUUGAGCGCCCUUUGCUUGGGCCAUGCUCCGUUGCUUGCUUCUGAUGGUUUCAGCAGGUUCUUCAUCAUUAGCUUCAUGAUCCUUAGAUGCUGAGGGAACAUUGAAGACAACCUUGUGAGGACUUGGUAUUUUGCGUCGUCUAGUUGUCAUCUUCUUCUUCAUGACUGUGGCACUAAAAGAAGUGAGAGCGGAGCCUAUUGCAGAUGUCCGAGAGGAAUUGUGAAUCCAAUGGUUCGCUGACACAUUGCAAGAUGCACUGGUGUUGAGGUCUUUGUGGUAGCAACUGAGGAAGUGGCCGCCACAGAAGGAGCUGGGUGAGGAAUUUUCUAUGAGGGAUUUGAACUUUAGGACUUUGUCUUGACACCAAAUUUCUUCACUAUAGCUUGUUUUGGAGCUGUUGCGCUGAUAGAUGCUUUAGCAGUAGAUGAGGUAGCGACAGUGGCAGCAACUGUAUCAAGGUUGAAUUUCCUCACUGCCUUUGCAGAAAUCUUGUACAGUUUGGCUUGGCACUUGUCCCACUCCUUGGGAUAUUCUUCACCACUUACAAUGCUAGUGGGAUCAACUACUUGGCCUUCAGCGAGUGGAGUUCUUGGGCAUGGAGGAUUCACUGCAAAUUUUUUCAUGUACUUUGGAGUAACAUAUUUGUAGUCCCUCAUCAGGAGUGUAGUAUUCAUCAUAUAUAUCCUCAAGGAUUCCGAAGGCAGUAUUGGUUUCUGCCUUCUUUCCUCCUUUCUGAGGUCUUUUCCCUUCAACCAUUUUCUUCACUUGUGGAAUAUGAAAUUUUGAUGAUUCUGAGGAAGUGUGCAAAUUUUCUUCAAGGAACACUUCAAAUGAAUUAAGUUGAUAAGAACCUAGAGAUUAAUGUGCAACCAUUUUGUACGUGUGAAUAGAGUGUAGGUGCGAAUAAUUUGAAGAGGUCAUUUGCUUUCUCAGAAAUUUUUCAAAAGUAUAUCAAGUUGAGGAAUUUGACCAGAUAGGUCUUGAAGAAUUCCGUUAAGUGUUCUUGACUUAGGUUCCAGAGUUUGCAGAUUCAAAAAUUUACUCAAUUGAGAAAUCUUUUGAAGAAAAUCAUGACUAAGAGAAACAAAACAAGGGAAAUUAAGUUGUUUAAGGUGUUUACACGAUUGAAUAAACACCUUUUGAAGAAUUUGUCAAAUCAUAAAGAUCAAAUAGUGCAGUAAAAUUAGAUUUUAAUUACCCUUAUCGAAGAACAUGAAGGACACGGAGUGAAAGUGAAGGAGUUCACCAGUUAAGAUCUCCUGCGCCCUAUAUCGGCGACAGAAGACAGCUACGGCAUCGGUCGAGUGAAGAUUUCUGUCGCCAGCGCAAGUAUGACGAGGAGGAGGUUGAGUCAGCUAAGCUCUUCCUCUCCGGCAAGAAUGAAGAGUAGCGGUGACGCUAUGUCUAAGCUCGAAUAUGAUGAGAGGUGAGAUCGAGCGAAGUAACUGAGAUAGUGAAGCGGGUGAAGGGGUAUUUAUAGUGGAGGUAAAAAUUGUUUGGCCUGAAGAUUUUGGACCUCUUUACCCGUGACCCUUCCUAUCCAAGCGACACAUGUUACCCACAUACUGAGAGGUGGCAAUCUUGGGGGAUCGUGGGUUAUCCAGUCAUGGAAAGUGGGAUUUGUUUCGAGUGAUAACCGCUAAAAAUUUGAUAAGAUAUUUUAAAGCUUUGUUCGCGGAUUCUUCAGCUGACAAUGAUCUAGUAAAGACUUUGAACGAGUUUCAAGUAGGACGCAUAUCAAGAAUUUGUGAAUAGACUGGGUUGAGCUUAGCAAAGAGGGGGAACGGGUCCGAUCACUUUCACUUAGAAGAAAAUCUAUUUGAAGAAUUAGUAGUAAGUGAAAGCUAUUGAGGACUUUGAAAGCUCUUAUAUAUGUAUAUAUAUAUAUAUAUAUUCAAUGAAGAACACCCAUUGAAAAGUUUGAAGGAUUUGACAUUUUGAGGAAUUUGCAAACUUGAGGAAUUAGAAAAAUUUCAAAAUUUGCAAAAAUCUCAAUUUUGAAGAAUUUUAACUUUGGUUGGUGGCGUGACCCACUGUAUAAGAAUGAUGAUUUCGGACACCAUGUACAAUUGACAUAGGGUUGCGAGAAUAAAAUUCUUCAUUAAUUUCCUCACACUUAGAGGGUUUGUCUUCAUUGAUUGAAGAAAAACAUUAUUUCAUGUGUUGCACAUCUAAUCGUCAAUUCUGUAUAAGUUUUAGGAUGUGUGUCCUUUCGCAGAACAUUCAAAGAUUCUAGGAUAUUUAGCUCAUAUCGCAACUUGCAAAUCUCUUUUCAUCAAAGGGCUUAGUGAAUAUAUCUGCCAGUUGUUCUUCAGUCUUCACGUGGUCGAUGAAGAUGUCGCCCUUGAGUACAUGAUCACGAAGAAAAUGAUGACGAAUCUGGAUGUGCUUGGUCUUUGAGUGUUGAACUGGGUUGUGAGUAAUAUUGAUUGUACUGUCAUUGUCACAGUAGAGAGGCACAUUCUUCACUUUGAUGCCAUAGUCCUUGAGAGUUUGCUUUAUCCAUAGCAGUUGAGCACGACAUGAACCAACAUCGAUAUACACAACUUCAGUAGUAGAGAGUGCACACAGUUCUGUUUCUUUGAGGAUCAUCAGACUAAAGAUCAUCUGAGGAAGUGGUAUGUGCCUGAUGUUGACUUGUGAUCCACUUGAUAACCAAUAGAGUCAGGGUCAGAGUAUUGAUACGUCUCCAACGUAUCUAUAAUUUUCGAUGAUUUCAUGCUAUUAUCUUGUCAAACUGUGGAUGUUUUGUAUGCCUUUUAUAUCUUUUUUGGGACUAACUUAUUAACUCAGUGCCAAGUGCCAGUUCCUGUUUUUUCCGUGUUUUUGACCCUUUUCAGAGGAGAAUUUUGAACGGAGUCCAAACGGAAUAAAACUUCCAAAAAGAAUUUUUCUAAAAUAGAAGACGAUCGGGAGACUUCAGAACCAAGGCAGUGGGUCACGACGGACCCCACAAGCCCUCAUGGCGCGGCCAGGGGGCCCCGCGCCUCCCAGGCUUGUGGGCUCCCUAGGCCUCCCCUGCUCUAGGUCUUUCGCCUAUAUAUUCCCUAAAAUCCCAGAAAAAUCAGGGGAUCCACGAAAAUACUUUUCCGCCGCCGCAAGCUUAUGUCUCCGCAAGAUCCCAUCCGGGGCACGUUCCGGUGCCCUGCCGGAGGGGGAUUCGGAUACGGAGGGCUUCUUCAUCAACACCAUGACCUCUCCGAUGAUGCGUGAGUAGUUCACCAUAGACCUACGGGUCCAUAGCUAGUAGCUAGAUGGCUUCUUCUCUCUCUUGGAUCUUCAAUACAAAGUUCUCCAUGAUCUUCAUGGAGAUCUAUCCGAUGUAAUCUUCUUUGUGAUGUGUUUGUCGAGAUCCGAUGAAUUGUGGAUUUAUGAUCAGAUUAUCUAUGAAUCUUAUUUGACUUUCUUCUGAUCUCUUAUAUGCAUGAUUUCAUAUCCUUGUAAUUCUCUUCGAGUUGUGGGUUUUGUUUGGCCAACUUGAUCUAUGAUUCUUGCAAUGGGAGAAGUGCUUGGUUUUGGGUUCAUACCGUGCGGUGACCUCACCCAAUGAUAGAAGGGGUAGCGAGGCACACAUCAUGUUGUUGCCAUCAAGGGUAAAAAGAUGGGGUUUUCAUCAUUGGUUUGAGUUUGUGGGGACCCCGACUAGCAAGUCGAGUUCGCCGUGCCCAGUGACCCCAAGGAUCAAUGUUCACUGAACACAGAUACUCAAUAAUAGAGUUUUACAUCCAAGUACCGAAUUUAUUACAUUGAACGACCCAAAGGUCGGGUUCAAGAGCAAGGCCUAAAGCCAAAUUAAAUGGAUACAUCGAGUAGCGGAAACUCGUAAGGGCUAAGCGGUGCCCAUGCCAUCAAGCCUACACCGACAGGCAUUCUGACUUGGAAGCGUCCUANNNNNNNNNNNNNNNNNNNNNNNNNNNNNNNNNNNNNNNNNNNNNNNNNNNNNNNNNNNNNNNNNNNNNNNNNNNNNNNNNNNNNNNNNNNNNNNNNNNNGAAGGGAGGGGGAAAUAGCGCGGGCUGAAAUGUCCCUCCCGCCAACUGCUUCUCUGUUAUGCAGGGCACCACAGCCGCUAGGGGUAAACCCGCGUUUUCCCAGGUUGGGGUCGGGAAUUUUCCGCGCCCCCUAAAAACUUUUGCGGGCCGGGGCGGGAUGCGGGGUCUGAUCGGGCAGGCUUUUCCGCCCUGACCCGCAUUUUGGCAGUUAUUUUGCGGGUCGGGGCGGAUGUGGGUUCUGCUAGAGUUGCUCUUAGACUCAACAAGUCCCUCUAUGGCCUCAAGGAGGCCCCGAGGGCAUGGUAUAACACUCUGAAGGAGUUCCUCAUGAAGAAAGGCUUCAAACCUGGUUCACUCAACCCAACUCUUUUCACAAAAUCCUAUGACAAUGAAUUGUUCGUGUGUCAAAUUUAUGGAGACGAUAUUAUCUUUAGUUGUACUGACAAAUGUUACAAUGACGAAUUAUUCUACAUGAUGAGUGAAUAAUAUCAAAUAUCCAUGACGGGGGAGUUGAAAUUCUUCUUCUUAGGCAAAGAAGAAAACCAAGUUUUUGCUCGAUCUCGCAACGAGAAAGGAAAAAGCUUCAAUUUAAUCACAUCACUAUCCACAUCUUUCUUAUUUUGCAUAUCGCAAAGCUCAAUGAAGGUAUUAAGAUGGGAUGCGGCAUCUUCACUCGGAAGGCCAGAGAAUUGCUUUUUCUUAACAAGAUUCAACAAAGCAGCAUUGAUUUCGUAUGAUUCCGCACUAGUGGCGGGAGCAAUCAGAGUACUAAUAAAAUCAUUAUUAUUAGUAUUCGCGAAGUCACAAAGUUUGGUGUUUUCAGUCAUGGUGACUUCAGCAAGAAAGCAAGCAAGCACACAAGCGAACAGAAAGCAAGCGAGAGAAAAGGGCGAACGAAAAAGGGAAACGAAAAAGACAAAUAUUAUUGUAAAUUUUUGUUUUUCAGAAGUGGGGUAGAGGAAAACGAGAGGCAAAAAAGUAAAUGCAGGAGAUGAGUUUGAAACACUUACUUGGAUGAGUUCUCGACUUGGUCCUCCCCGGCAACGGCGCCAGAAAUCCUUCUACUACUUCUCAAACAACAGCGCCAGAAAUUGACACGUUGACGGAGACUUGCUUCCGUUGGUUUUUCCCUUGAAGAGGAAACGGUGAUGCAGCACACGAGAAGUAAGUAUUUCCCUCAGUUUGAGAACCAAGGUAUCGAUCCAGUAGGAGAAUCUCAUCAAGUCCAGAGUACUUGCGCAAACACAAAAGAGCUUGCACCCAACCCUAUAAAGGGGUUGUCAAUCCCUUCAAGAUUGAUUGCAAAGUGAGCUCUGAAGGCGGAAAGUGCAACAAAGUAAAAGUGUAAGGCUGAAAAUAUGGUGUGAAGUAGACUCGGGGGCCAUAGUGUUCACUAGAGGCUACUCUCAAAAUAGCAAAUAUUAUGGUGGGUGAACAAAUUACUAUCGAGCAAUUGAUAGAACCGCGCAAAUUCAUGACGAUAUCUAAGCCAAUGAUCAUACAUAUAGGCAUCAUGUCCGAGACAAGUAGACCUAUACUUUCUGCAUCUACUACUAUUACUCCACACAUCGACCGCUAUCCAGCAUGCAUCUAGUGUAUUGAGUUCAUGACGAACAGAGUAACGCCUUAAGCAAGAUGACAUGAUGUAGAGGGUAAACUCAAACCAAUGAUGAAAACCCCAUCUUUUUACCCUUGAUGGCAACAACAUGAUGUGUGCCUCGCUACCCCUUCUAUCAUUGGGUGAGGUCACCGCACGGUAUGAACCCAAAACCAAGCACUUCUCCCAUUGCAAGAAUCAUAGAUCAAGUUGGCCAAACAAAACCCACAACUCGAAGAGAAUUACAAGGAUAUGAAAUCAUGCAUAUAAGAGAUCAGAAGAAAGUCAAAUAAGAUUCAUAGAUAAUCUGAUCAUAAAUCCACAAUUCAUCGGAUCUCGACAAACACAUCACAAAGAAGAUUACAUCGGAUAGAUCUCCAUGAAGAUCAUGGAGAACUUUGUAUUGAAGAUCCAAGNNNNNNNNNNCGAUGUGUGCCUCGCUACCCCUUCUGUCACUGGAUGAGGUCACCGCACGGUAUGAACCCAAAACCAAGCACUUCUCCCAUUACAAGAAUCAUAGGUCAAGUUGGCCAAACAAAACCCACAACUCGAAGAUAAUUACAAGGAUAUGAAAUCAUGCAUAUAAGAGAUCAAAAGAAAGUCAAAUAAGAUUCAUAGAUAAUCUGAUCAUAAAUCCACAAUUCAUUGGAUCUUGACAAACACACCGCAAAGAAGAUUACAUUAGAUAGAUCUCCAUGAAGAUCAUGGAGAACUUUGUAUUGAAGAUCCCAAAGAGAGAAGAAGCCAUCUAGCUACUAGCUAUGGACCCGUAGGUCUAUGGUGAACUACUCACGCAUCAUCGGAGAGGACAUGGUGUUGAUGAAGAAGCCCUCCGUAUCCGAACCCCCCCCCCUCCGGCAGGGCACCAGAACGUGCCCCAGAUGGGAUCUUGCGGAGACAGAAGCUUGCGGCGGCGGAAAAGUAUUUUCGUGGAUCUCCUGAUUUUUUCUGGGAUUUUGGGGAAUAUAUAGGCAAAAGACCUAGGGUAGGGGAGGCCCAGGAAGCCCACAAGCAUGGGAGGUGCGGGCCCCCUGGCCUCGCCAUGAGGGUUUGUGGGGUCCCUGGUGACCCUCUGCCUUGGUUCUCAAGUCUCCCGAUCGUCUUCUGUUUCGGAAAAAAUCUUUUCGGAAGUUUUAUUCCAUUUGGACUCCGUUCAAAAUUCUCCUCUGAAAAGGGUCAAAAACACGGANNNNNNNNNNUCAUGGUGUUGAUGAAGAAGCCCUCCGUAUCCGAAUCCCCCUCCGGCAGGGCACCGGAACGUGCCCCGGAUGGGAUCUUGCGGAGACAUAAGCUUGCGGCGGCGGAAAAGUAUUUUCGUGGAUCCCCUGAUUUUUCUGGGAUUUUAGGGAAUAUAUAGGCGAAAGACCUAGAGCAGGGGAGGCCUAGGGAGCCCACAAGCCUGGGAGGCGCGGGGCCCCCUGGCCGCGCCAUGAGGGCUUGUGGGGUCCGUCGUGACCCACUGCCUUGGUUCUGAAGUCUCCCGAUCGUCUUCUAUUUUAGAAAAAUUCUUUUUGGAAGUUUUAUUCCGUUUGGACUCCGUUCAAAAUUCUCCUCUGAAAAGGGUCAAAAACACGGAAAAAACAGGAACUGGCACUUGGCAGUGAGUUAAUAAGUUAGUCCCAAAAAAGAUAUAAAAGGCAUACAAAACAUCCAAAGUUUGACAAGAUAAUAGCAUGAAACCAUCAAAAAUUAUAGAUACGUUGGAGACGUAUCAAGCAUCCCCAAGCUUAACUCCUGCUCGCCUCGAGCAGGGAAGUGAUAAAGACUGAAUUUUUCACAUGGAAUGCUACCUAGCAUAGUUGUCCUUUGUAACUUCUUUCAUGUGACAUGAAUGUUCAGAUCCAUAGGAUUCGAAACAAUAGUUUGCUAUUGACAUGAAAACAAUAAUACUUCGAGCAAACUAGCAAGGUAAUCAUGAACUUUCGAAAUAACAAGGCCAAAGAAAGUUAUCCCUACAAAAUCAUAUAGUCUGGCUAUGAUCCAUCAUCCCCACACAACUAAUUUAAAUCAUGCACAACCCCGGUAUUGGCCAAUUAAUUGUUUUCGCACUCUUACUUUCUCAAACCUUUUUCAACUAUCACGCAAUACAUGAGCGUGAGCCAUGGAUAUAGCACUAUGGUGGAAUAGAGUGUGGUGGUGGUUGUGAGACAAAAAAGGAGAAGAUGGUCACAUUGACUCGGCGUAUCAAAGGGCUAUGGAGAUGCCCAUUAAUAGAUAUCAAUGUAAAUGAGUAGCGAUUGCCAUACAAAGGAUGCACUAGAGCUAUAAGUAUGUGAAAGCUCAAAAGGAGAACUAGUGGGUGUGCAUCCAACUUGCUUGCUCACAAAGACCUAGGGCAAUUUUGAGGAAGCCCAUCAUUGGAAUAUACAAGCCAAGUUAUAUAAUAAAUAUUCCCACUAGCAUAUGGUGGUGACGAAACGAGAGGCUCUCAAUCAUGAAGAACAUGGUGCUAUUAUGAAGCACAAGUGUGGGAAAAGAUAGUAGCAUUGUCCCUUCUAUCUUUUUCUCUUUUUUUUAUUUUUAUUUUGUUUGGGCUCUUUCCCCUCUUUCCAUAUCUCUCUUUUUUUAUUAUGGGCAACUUUGGCCUCUUUUUUUUUAUUUCCUCACAUGGGACAGUGCUCUAAUAAUGAUGAUCAUCAAACUUUUAUUUACUCAUAGCUCAAAGCUUAGGACGAUGAUGACUCUAUAGGAAAUGCCUCCGGGAGUGUACCGGGAUGUGCAACGAUCUAGCUUGGUGUAUGACGUUGAAACAUGUUGCUAGCUAUCUUACGAUCAUGCAAUGGCAAUAUGAGAGUGACGGCACAAGUCAUGAGACGGAACGGUGGGAUUUGCAUGGCAAUAUAUCUCGGAAUGGCAAUGAAAAUGCCAUAGUAGGUAGGUAUGGUGGCUGUUUCGAGGAAGGCAUAUGGUGGGUUUGUGCACCGGCGAAAAUUGCGCGGUACUAGAGAGGCUAGCAAUGGUGGAAGGUGAAAGUGCAUCUAUACCAUGGACUCACAUUAGUCAUGAAGAACUCACAUACUUGUUGCGAAAGUUUUUAUUAGUAAUCGAAACAAAGUGCUAAACGCAUACUCCUAGGGGAAGGGUUGGUAAGUCUAUAACCAUCGCGCGAUCCCGACCGCAACACAAAGGAUGACAAUCAAUAGAUCAAUUAUGCUCCGACUUCCUAACAUAGUGGUUUACCAUACGUGCAUGUUACGGGAAUCACUAACUUCAACACAAGUAUUUCUAGAUUCACAACACCCUACUAACAUAACUCUUAAUAUUACCAAAUCCACGUCUCCAAACUAAUUGAGAGGAAUCAAAACUUCUCUUUCUACUUAAUGCACAUGAAGCUGGAAGUUUUUGUCUCCUCUUUGGGUACCUACCACCUUUGGGACUACUUUCAUAGCACAAGCCAACUACCAAGUUACGCACCACCGUACUCUAAAAGAUCUAAGUGAAGCACAUAGAGCAAAAUUAUCUAGCUCAAAAGAUAUAAGUGAAGCACGAUGAGCAUUCUAGCAAAAUCACGAUGAGUGUGUGUCUCUCUCAAAAGGUGUGCAGCAAGGAUGAUUCUGACACAACAAAAAGAAAAGACUCCUACGAUACAAGACGCUCCAAGCAAAACACAUAUCUUGUGGUGAAUAAAAAUAUAGCUCCAAGUGAUGUUACCGAUGGAUUGAAGACGAAAGAGGGGAUGCCUUCCCGGGGCAUCCCCAAGCUUAGGCUUUUUGGUGUCCUUGAAUUUGGCUUGGGAUGCCUUGGGCAUCCCCAAGCUUGAGCUCUUUCCACUCUUUAUCCCUUUGUCCAUGAGAUCAUCACCCAAAACUUGAAAACUUCACAACACAAAACUUAAACAGAAACUCGUGAUAUCAUUAACACAAGAAAACAAACUACCACUUCUUUAGGUAAUGUAGGAAUCUUGAUUUAUAUUUAUAUUGGUGUUAGAUUACUGUAUUCUCACUUUUCCAUAGCUAGUACCCCCCGAUACUAUCCAUAGUUUCAUCAAAACAAGCAACCAACUCAACAAAAAUAGAAUAUGUCAAAAACACACCAGUCUGUAGCAAUCUGUAUACUUCGUAUACUUCUGGUACCUCAAAAAUUCUGAAAAAUUACUACUGCCUAGGAAAAAGGCAUAUCCACCAGCAGAAAAAAGAAUCAACUCAAAAUCUCUUUAUGAAUAAAAAUUAAAAAUAAUCUCGUGAGCGAAAAGUUUCUGUCUUUUUCCAGCAGGAUCAAACAACCAUCACCAAUACUAGUCAUAAAGGUUUUGCUUGGGUCAAACACAAAAAGAAACACAAAAGACACAAUCAUAACAUGAUUAUGAUGGUGUGGACGUAACAAAACAAAAGGAAAAAGAUAAAUUCAUUGGGUUACCUCCCUACAAGCGCUAUUGCUUAACGCCCUUAGCUAGGCAUAAAGCGAUAGAAUCGUGCAUCGUCGUCUUUGGUGCUCAAACCAUAAGUAGCCCUCAUCAUGGAUUCAUAAGGCAAUCAUAUUUUCUUUCUACGAAAAUGCUCCAUGCCCUUCUUUAAAGGAAAUUGAAAUCUAAUAUUCCCUUCCUUCAUGUCGAUGAUAGCACCAAUAGUCCUUAGGAAAGGUCUACCAAGAAUGAUAGGGCAUGUAGGAUUGCAAUCAAUGUCAAGCACAAUGAAAUCCACGGGUACAUAGUUCCUAUUUGCAAUAAUAAGAACAUCAUUGAUCCUUCCCAUGGGUUUCUUGACAGUAGAAUCCGCAAGAUGCAAAUUAAGAGAACACUCCUCAAUCUCAUGAAAACCCAGAACAUCACAUAAAGACUUUGGAAUCGCGGAAACUCUAGCACCCAAAUCACACAAAGCAUUGCAUUCAUAGUUUUUUAUUUUGAUUUUGGUAGUAGGUUCCCACUCAUCAUGAAGCUUUCUAGGGAUAGAAACUUCCAAUUCAAGUUUCUCUUCAAGAGAUUUUAUCAUAGCUUCGACGAUAUGAACGGUAAAGGCCUUGUUUUGCUUAUAAGCGUGUGUAGAGUUUAGCAUGGAUUGCAUCAAGGAAAUGCAUUAAAUCAAGGAUCAACUAUCAUAAUUGAAUUCCUUGAAAUCCAAAGUAGUAAUUUCAUUACUACUCAAAGUUUUAAUAUCUUCUACUCCACUUUCAAUGCUUUUAGCAUCAAGAUAGAUGGACUCCGAAUCAUUGGGGCGUUUUUCAACCAAAGUGGAUUCAUAUCCAGCCCCCUCAUCAUAAGGUUUGACACAAGAAAACAAAGAUUCAAUGGGAGUCACACCAAGCACUUUAAUAUCUUCGUGAUUCUUAUCACGAGAACACGCCUUUUUAAGCCAUUCAUGUCUAGCACGAAUUUGGGAGCUUCUUUCUUUGCUCUCACUCAUGGAAACACGCAUAGCUUUCAAAGUUUCGUCCAUAUUGAUCUUGGGAGGAGCACAUCUAACUUUGAAAGCAUCAAUAUCACUAGACAUUCUAUCAACGCUCCUAGCCAAAUCAUCAAUUUUGAGUAGUUUUUCCUCUAUGGACGCAUUGAAAAUCUUUUGUGAGUUGAUAAACUCUUUGAUAUUACUCUCUAAAUCAGAGGAUAAUCUAUUUUAAUUUCCAUGAGUAUUGUUGUAGGAGUUCCCAAAGUUAUUAGAGGAGUUACUAGGAAAAGGCCUAGGAACAUAGUUUCAUCUAAAAGCAUUUUUGUUGCCAAAAUUAUUCCUACCAACAAAAUUAACGUCCAAGCUAGCGUUGCUACUCUCAAUCAAGGAAGACAAGGGCAUAUCAUUCGGAUCUAAAGGAGCACUACUACUAGGAACCAAAUUCAUUAACUCAUCCAUCUUAGCACUCAACGAGUUAAUUUCUUCUAUAGCGUGUACCUUUUUACUAGUAGUUGACCUUUUAGUGUGCCACUGAGAGUAGUUCGUCAUGUAUUGUCUAGGAGUUUUGUGCCUUCUCCUAACGUGAUUUCCAUGAACGUUCCACCUAAGGCGGAGUCCAAGAUAUUUCUAGAAGCGAAAUUCAAGCCACCAUAAAAGAUCUGUAUAAUCAUCCAAAGACUCAAGCCAUGAGUGGGACAAUUUCUAAUCAUCAAUUUCAUUCUCUCCCAAGAUUGUGCAACAUGUUCAUGAUCAAGUUGCUUAAAAUUCAUGAUAUCAUUAUGGAGAGAGAUAAUCUUAGCCGGUGGAAAAUACUUGGAUAUGUAAGCAUCUUUGCACUUAUUCCAAGAAUCAAUAUUAUUUUUGGGCAAAGACGAAAACCAAGUUUUUGCUCGAUCUCGCAACGAGAAAGGAAAAAAGCUUCAAUUUAAUCACAUCAUUAUCCACAUCUUUCUUCUUUUCCAUAUCGCAAAGCUCAAUGAAGGUAUUAAGAUGGGAUGCGGCAUCUUCACUAGGAAGGUUGGAGAAUUGCUCUUUCAUAACAAGAUUCAGCAAAGCAGCAUUGAUUUCGUAUGAUUCCGCACUAGUGGAGGGAGCAAUCAGAGUACUAAUAAAAUCAUUAUUAUUAGUAUUCGAGAAGUCACAAAGUUUGGUGUUUUCAGUCAUGGUGACUUCAGCAGGCAAGCAAGCAAGCACACAAGUGAACAAAAAGCAAGCGAGAGAAAAGGGCGAACAAAAAAGGCAAACGAAAAAGGCAAAUAUGUUAAAUAAUGAUAUUCCCACAAGGAAAAUUGCUUUCCUGCCUUAGAAAAUUCUGAGUAAAUUCAUGGAAGCUCAGAAGGACAUAUAUUUUCCAUAUAUAAGAUUUCCAGCCCUACUUUAUAUUAAUAUUAUUUGAGUAAAACCCUGAAAACCAUUUCUGUCUGUUUUAGCUUUUUGAGAUGUUUCUAAAGGAAAUUAUCUCAAUAAAAUCCCAUAAAAUUACAGGAGCCCUCCCAAACCAUAUUAGGUGCUCACCUAAAAUCUCACCUUGAUCCCAGGUGGGGAAGUACACCUAAAGAUCCCAAAAGCCUCUUUGUCCAGAGUAGAGUUGGAACAACUCUACAUUGCAAAGUUUCUCCAAUGGAGCUGAAACUUUGCAGAGGUGUUUAACACCCCANNNNNNNNNNNNNNNNNNNNNNNNNNNNNNNNNNNNNNNNNNNNNNNNNNNNNNNNNNNNNNNNNNNNNNNNNNNNNNNNNNNNNNNNNNNNNNNNNNNNUGACGGCGUACUCAUCACCAAACUCCGGUCCUUCCAUGUCUGGUCAAUAACAUAACCAGUGGCAAGCCAAUGAGUACUUUGAAUGUACUCGCAAACAGCCCAUGAUAUGAAUAUAUAUGGUAAGGAAUAACAGUAACAGUUAUCUUUAGUGGAAUGCAAUGUGGUGGCAUGAUCAGGUAUGAGCAACAAGUUAAGAAUUACUUUUGAAGAAUAGGUUACAGAUAUUGACAUAUCUGUCAAGAGUUGAACACAUCGGGUUCACCCUGUAUGCCAAGUCAUCGGACUUGUCAUAUCCUCAAGGNNNNNNNNNNGUUUUGAAGAACAGGUUACAGAUAUUGACAUAUCUGUCAAGGGUUGAACACACCGGGUUCACCCUGUAUGCCAAGUCAUCGGACUUGUCAUAUCCUCAAGGUAUUAAUGAGGGCUAAACCAUCCGGGUUUACCCUAUAUGUCAAGUCACCGAACUUGAUCAUAUUGUCGUGGUUAUCAUAACAACACCUUUUUAACACCACGCACACACACUUGGUUUAUGCGGAAACUCAGGACGUAGUUUAAGCAGCACCAACCAACUGUCCUUGACCGUGGACACGGCUAUUCGAAUAGUUUACACUCUGCAGAGAUAGUACGCUGGACCCACGAGAAACGGGAAACUUCCGUGUCAUCCACGACUCACGGUAUAUCACAUAUACCCGAGGUAAGUACCCGAUCAUCAUCUUUCCCCUGACGAUACUAGACAAAGAGGUCCACUCGAUUGGUACCCAGCCCACAUGUUGUACGUCUUACGAGCACCGACUCUGGACUGUAUCGACCAUGCAGGGACCAACGGUGUGCCUGGAACUCAUAAUAAUGGCAUAGUCAUCCUACCUGGCAUGACCCCAUCACGAGAGUGACACCGAUCACUCCCGCCACUAGUAAUGUGGCUCUUUGCUAGCACCGACCAGAGUAAUCAACAAAGCCCCGUCCCAUAAAGGGGUAUCGUGGUCGUACUGGUAAGGUUGGGACGGUCGACACAUCAUAAAUCUAAUCCAUUUCCGAAACCAUACUCACACAAAAAUCACCGGUGCAUCACUUCACCAAAAGUGAUCACCGAUUCAUCCUCACCCUCGGGCAUUAGUGGCACCCGACGGGGUUUUCAUAAACUCUUUAUUUAACUCAACAUUAUGCUUGAGAUAAUAUGCCUUAACAUUACUUGUCAACAUGGUGAUAUCAUGACCCUCACGGGGUAGGGUCAAGCUCAAUGCAGUGAUUAUACUUUACUAGUCAACAUGACAUUAGCAUGAUCCUCGUAGAUGGUAGGGUUAGCUCAUCAUGUAUGUGCUCCGAGGAGCCAUGUGAAUAUCAUUAUCAACAUGCAAAUGCUUCGAGGAAGCCUUCGGGACCAUCACAUCAAUGAUGAACCGACACUGUGAUCACAUGCAUCGGAAAAUACUUGCUAUACUAGCAUGCAUCAUUUUAUAUACUUAAGUCAUGGAAAAAGGGCUGCUUGCCUUGGUCAGCUAGGUAUCCGGGGUCUUCGAGGUCUUCCACUCCGGAUCCUCCGUCACUCGGUAACUCUACCGUCGAGAAAGGAAUAAAUAAAUACUAGCUCUCACUAAAACAGAUCACAAAGUGCUUUUAAAAAUGUUGCAAGGCUUAAAUAAAUUCAGUUUAUUAUUUUGAAAAAUGUUUCCUAUAGUUUUAUUAGCUAAGCAUAUUUAUUUNNNNNNNNNNNNNNNNNNNNNNNNNNNNNNNNNNNNNNNNNNNNNNNNNNNNNNNNNNNNNNNNNNNNNNNNNNNNNNNNNNNNNNNNNNNNNNNNNNNNAAAACCACUCUACUGCCACUGCAACCAAAUCAACGUGUACCAAAGCGUCUCGAAACAAAAGACUACUCAAAGAGGGCAGAGAAAAAAGGAGGAAGUAAAAAAGCAGCCAGAAUCCUCCCAAACCAAGCUCAAGGUUUGUUUCAGUCUUGCCCACGUCACUCGUGCGCGUUUCGCCUGGUUGAUAGCCCAAACCGAAGCAGAACAUCACGACGGAAUUCAUUUACUCCGUACUAGCGUUGGCCAUGGCCGCUGGCGCUUCGCCCCUCCUGCUGUUGCGCGUCGCCCUCGUCCUCAUCGCCGCCGCCGCGGCCUGGGCGGCGGCGCUGGACGACCCGGCGGGGCUUCNNNNNNNNNNNNNNNNNNNNNNNNNNNNNNNNNNNNNNNNNNNNNNNNNNNNNNNNNNNNNNNNNNNNNNNNNNNNNUGCGACGGGCCAAGGAGGCGGAGUUCUUGGACUGGAUGGUGGGGGUGCGGCGGCGGAUCCACGAGAACCCUGAGCUCGGCUACGAGGAGUUUGCCACCAGUGAACUCGUCCGGCGCGAGCUCGAUGCCAUGGGGAUCCCGUACAGGCACCCCUUCGCGCUCACCGGCGUCGUCGCCACCGUCGGCACAGGCGGCCCGCCCUUCGUCGCGCUUCGGGCCGACAUGGACGCGCUCCCUAUGCAGGUUUUUUU